rnacentral:rRNA from 1 species
AUACGAAGGGUGCAAGCGUUACUCGGAAUUACUGGGCGUAAAGCGUGCGCAGGCGGUUUUGUAAGACAGUGGUGAAAUCCCCGGGCUCAACCUGGGAACUACCAUUGUGACUGCAAGGCUGGAGUGCGGCAGAGGGGGAUGGAAUUCCGCGUGUAGCAGUGAAAUGCGUAGAUAUGCGGAGGAACACCGAUGGCGAAGGCAAUCCCCUGGGCCUGCACUGACGCUCAUGCACGAAAGCGUGGGGAGCAAACAGGAUUAGAUACCCUGGUAGUCCACGCCCUAAACGAUGUCAACUGGUUGUUGGGGAUUUAUUUUCUCAGUAACGAAGCUAACGCGUGAAGUUGACCGCCUGGGGAGUACGGCCGCAAGGUUAAAACUUAAAGGAAUUGACGGGG